GGGGGAAUAUUGCACAAUGGGGGAAACCCUGAUGCAGCGACGCCGCGUGAGCGAAGAAGUAUUUCGGUAUGUAAAGCUCUAUCAGCAGGGAAGAUAAUGACAGUACCUGACUAAGAAGCCCCGGCUAACUACGUGCCAGCAGCCGCGGUAAUACGUAGGGGGCAAGCGUUAUCCGGAUUUACUGGGUGUAAAGGGAGCGUAGACGGAACGGCAAGUUUGAAGUGAAAUACCCGGGCUUAACCCGGGAACUGCUUUGAAAACUGUCGAUCUAGAGUGUCGGAGAGGUAAGUGGAAUUCCUGGUGUAGUAGUGAAAUGCGUAGAUAUCAGGAAGAACACCGGAGGCGAAGGCGGCUUACUGGACGAUAACUGACGUUGAGGCUCGAAAGCGUGGGGAGCAAACAGGAUUAGAUACCCUGGUAGU
rnacentral:rRNA from 1 species